rnacentral:rRNA from 1 species
AGUGAACGCUGGCGGUAGGCCUAACACAUGCAAGUCGAACGGCAGCACAGUAAGAGCUUGCUCUUACGGGUGGCGAGUGGCGGACGGGUGAGGAAUACAUCGGAAUCUACUUUUUCGUGGGGGAUAACGUAGGGAAACUUACGCUAAUACCGCAUACGACCUACGGGUGAAAGCAGGGGAUCUUCGGACCUUGCGCGAUUGAAUGAGCCGAUGUCGGAUUAGCUAGUUGGCGGGGUAAAGGCCCACCAAGGCGACGAUCCGUAGCUGGGCUGAGAGGAUGAACACCCCCACUGGAAAUGAGAACCGGUCCCGGCCCCUACGGGAGGCAGCAGUGGGUAAUAUGGGAAAAUGGGGGCAAGCCUGACCCAGCCAUCCCGGGUGGGUGAAGAAAGCCUUCGGGUUGAAAAACCCUUUUUUUGGGAAAAAAAAGAAGACGGUUAAAACCCCGCUGUUUCGACGGUACCAAAAGAAAAAGCACCGGACAACUCCGU